rnacentral:rRNA from 1 species
GGACGAACGCUGGCGGCGUGCCUAACACAUGCAAGUCGAGCGAGGAGAUCCUUCGGGAUGAUCCUAGCGGCGGACGGGUGAGUAACACGUGGGCAACCUGCCUCAUAGAGAGGAAUAGCCUUCCGAAAGGGAGAUUAAUACCUCAUAACAUUGCAGUUUCGCAUGGAACAGCAAUUAAAGGAGUAAUCCGCUACGAGAUGGGCCCGCGGCGCAUUAGCUAGUUGGUGAGGUAACGGCUCACCAAGGCGACGAUGCGUAGCCGACCUGAGAGGGUGAUCGGCCACAUUGGGACUGAGACACGGCCCAGACUCCUACGGGAGGCAGCAGUGGGGAAUAUUGCACAAUGGGGGAAACCCUGAUGCAAGCAACGCCGCGUGAGUGAUGACGGCCUUCGGGUUGUAAAGCUCUGUCUUCAGGGACGAUAAUGACGGUACCUGAGGAGGAAGCCACGGCUAACUACGUGCCAGCAGCCGC